rnacentral:rRNA from 1 species
AUUCCAGCUCCAAUAGCGUAUAUUAAAGUUGUUGCAGUUAGAACGCUCGUAGUCGGAUUUCGGGGCGGGCCGACCGGUCUGCCGAUGGGUACGCACUGGUCGGCGCGUCCUUCCUUCCGGAGACCGUGCCUACUCUUAACUGAGCGGGGGCGGGAGACGGAUCGUUUACUUUGAAAAAAUCAGAGUGUUUCAAGCAGGCAGCUCGCUCUUGCAUGGAUUAGCAUGGGAUAAUGAAAUAGGACUUUGGUGCUAUUUUGUUGGUUUCGAACACCGAAGUAAUGAUUAACAGGGACAGUCAGGGGCACUCGUAUUCCGCCGAGAGAGGUGAAAUUCUCAGACCAGCGGAAGACGAACCACUGCGAAAGCAUUUGCCAGGGAUGUUUUCAUUG